AGGUGUUGUAGGUCGCGGCCUCGUCCGGUCGGUUUCAGGCCGUUUCGAGUUCGCGUUCGAGGUCGCGGAGCUUCUC
rnacentral:tRNA from 1 species